UACGUAGGGGGCUAGCGUUGGUCCGGAAUCAUUGGGCGUAAAGCGCGUGUAGGCGGUUCGGUAAGUCCGCUGUGAAAGUCGGGGGGCUCAACCCCUCGGAUGCCGGUGGAUACUGUCGAGCUUGAGUACGGAAGAGGCGAGUGGAAUUCCUGGUGUAGCGGUGAAAUGCGCAGAUAUCAGGAGGAACACCGAUGGCGAAGGCAGGUCUCUGGGCCGAUACUGACGCUGAGGAGCGAAAGCGUGGGGAGCGAACAGG
rnacentral:rRNA from 1 species